rnacentral:rRNA from 1 species
AUACGGAGGGGGCUAGCGUUGUUCGGAAUCACUGGGCGUAAAGCGCUCGUAGGCGGACCAGUCAGUCAGAGGUGAAAUCCCAAGGCUCAACCUUGGAACUGCCUUUGAUACUGCUGGUCUUGAGGUCGAGAGAGGUAAGUGGAAUUCCUAGUGUAGAGGUGAAAUUCGUAGAUAUUAGGAAGAACACCAGUGGCGAAGGCGGCUUACUGGCUCGAUUCUGACGCUGAGGAGCGAAAGCGUGGGGAGCAAACAGAAUUAGAAACCCGAGUAGUCC